AUUGAACGCUGGCGGAAUGCUUUACACAUGCAAGUCGAGCGGCAGCACGGGGGCAACCCUGGUGGCGAGCGGCGAACGGGUGAGUAAUACAUCGGAACAUGCCCAGUCGUGGGGGAUAACACUUCGAAAGAAGUGCUAAUACCGCAUACGUCCUGAGGGAGAAAGCGGGGGAUCGCAGGACCUCGCGCGAUUGGAGUGGCCGAUGUCAGAUUAGCUAGUUGGUGGGGUAAAGGCCUACCAAGGCAACGAUCUGUAGCUGGUCUGAGAGGAUGAUCAGCCACACUGGGACUGAGACACGGCCCAGACUCCUACGGGAGGCAGCAGUGGGGAAUUUUGGACAAUGGGGGCAACCCUGAUCCAGCCAUUCCGCGUGAGUGAAGAAGGCCUUCGGGUUGUAAAGCUCUUUCGGCAGGAACGAAACGGCGAGCUCUAACAUAGCUUGCUAAUGACGGUACCUGAAGAAGAAGCACCGGCUAACUACGUG
rnacentral:rRNA from 1 species